ensembl:ncRNA F19C6.10 ncRNA
GGUGCUCCCCAGAUGUCUGCGGAUGUUGUAUCACAUGGGGCGGCGAUGUCUGAGUGAAGGCGUGAAAUCAAAUCUUGGGGCAUUG